rnacentral:rRNA from 1 species
GUGGGGAAUUUUGGACAAUGGGCGCAAGCCUGAUCCAGCAAUGCCGCGUGCAGGAAGAAGGCCUUCGGGUUGUAAACUGCUUUUGUACGGAACGAAACGGUCCUGGUUAAUACCUGGGGCUAAUGACGGUACCGUAAGAAUAAGCACCGGCUAACUACGUGCCAGCAGCCGCGGUAAUACGUAGGGUGCGAGCGUUAAUCGGAAUUACUGGGCGUAAAGCGUGCGCAGGCGGUGCUGUAAGACAGGCGUGAAAUCCCCGGGCUCAACCUGGGAAUUGCGCUUGUGACUGCAGUGCUGGAGUACGGCAGAGGGGGGUGGAAUUCCGCGUGUAGCAGUGAAAUGCGUAGAUAUGCGGAGGAACACCGAUGGCGAAGGCAGUCCCCUGGGCCUGUACUGACGCUCAUGCACGAAAGCGUGGGGAGCAAACAGGAUUAGAUACCCCAGUAGUCC